rnacentral:rRNA from 1 species
AUUGAACGCUGGCGGCAGGCCUAACACAUGCAAGUCGAACGGUAACAGGAAGCAGCUUGCUGCUUUGCUGACGAGUGGCGGGCGGGUGAGUAAUGUCUGGGAAACUGCCUGAUGGAGGGGGAUAACUACUGGAAACGGUAGCUAAUACCGCAUAACGUCGCAAGACCAAAGUGGGGGACCUUCGGGCCUCUUGCCAUCGGAUGUGCCCAGAUGGGAUUAGCUAGUAGGUGGGGUAACGGCUCACCUAGGCGACGAUCCCUAGCUGGUCUGAGAGGAUGACCAGCCACACUGGAACGGAGACACGGUCCAGACUCCUACGGGAGGCAGCAGUGGGGAAUAUUGCACAAUGGGCGCAAGCCUGAUGCAGCCAUGCCGCGUGUAUGAAGAAGGCCUUCGGGUUGUAAAGUACUUUCAGCGGGGAGGAAGGGAGUAAAGUUAAUACCUUUGCUCAUUGACGUUACCCGCAGAAGAAGCACCGGCUAACUCCGUG